rnacentral:rRNA from 1 species
AUACUGGUAAGAUCCCUGAAAGAUGAUCAGGUUGAUAGGUCCGGGGUGGAAGCGCGGCGACGUGUGGAGCUGACGGAUACUAAUCGAUCGAGGACUUAACCAC